CAAUCAUGGCUGGGGAUCUUUCAUAGAGGUUUUCUCUCUUUUGGUCCCCAAAACAUCUUCCUCUUUUAAAAAGGUUUUUCCUUCCUCAUGUGGUUGAGAUUAUGUAAUGGACACAGAGGAAACAGACAUACCCCACCCUCCAUGAGCCCACAGCCACUUCAGGAAGGCCCCCCCAGACAUGAAGCUCCUUCAGCGUGAGAAGCACCAGGUGAAGUGGGGGCCAGAGAAGAGUGGCCUGGGCCUCAGGUCAGCGCUGGUGAGGGAAGAAGUGGGGCUUUCUGGAGGCCAGUGUGCUGAGCCCUGCGGUGUGAGGAGGGGUCGCCUAAAGUCUUGCUCUGUUGCCAGGCUGGAGCACAGUGGUGCAGUCUUGGCUCACUGCAACCCCGGCCUCCUGGGUUCAAGCAAUUCUUCCGCCUCAGCCUCCCAAGUAGCUGGGACUACAGAUCUAGUCUGUAUGUUAAAGAGCAGAGUGCAUUUUCUGGAAGAGAAAGAAAAAUAUCAUCACAACACAUAAUAAUGACAAUGUAGACUAAAUUUAUGGUGCUCAGUUCACGGAAAUAUAUCAGACCAAUUCUGCAUUUGGAGACCUGGUUUGUAACGUGAGGAAGGUGCCUUGCCUGCCUUGUUUCUGCAAGAGUGAGGUUCAGCGGUGAGCCAAACCUCACUCUUGCAGAAACAAGGCAAGCAAGGCACCUUUAAAAAGCAGAAAAAGGAUGGACUUGGGAAUGGGGAGAGCAGAGUGUGGAUCCUGGCCCCAUUCCUAGGUCUGUUGUGGUGCUGAUCCACAUUUACUUCCUCACUUGUGAAUCAGCCCUGGUAAUAGUUGCCCAACAUACAUCACAAAACUAUUGUAAAAUGAGGUAAUAUAAAUAGAAAUACUCUGAAAAAAACACAAUUUACUACAGACAUAUCAUACCUAGAUUUAUCCAAGAUGGCCCUAUGCAAAAUAACAAUGUAGGUGGCAUUCACCUAAGCAUAUUCACUUUCUCACUAGUGUCUCUUAGAUAACUUCCUCCCUUGUCAAAUAUCCCAGGAACUGUUUCGACCAUAUUUCCUCUCUCCUGCUAUCAUUUUACCCAUCACCCCAUGAUGACUGAAUCCUCAAGACUAGAACUUCAAUGGUUUCCAACUCUUCGUGGAGACCACUAGCCAGAUAAUGGUCUCAUGUUCAUGUGAUCAUGGAGAUGACUGGAGAAGACAUCCCUUCUUACGCCCCUUCAGUGAUCCCAUAUUGAAUAUUUUUUAACACUUACUAAGCUCCCAGUUUUGUUGUAUAACCCAGAGGGGCAAUUCUAAGGGUAGAAACUUUAGUCUAAAAAGUUUAAAAUAAUGACAAAUUGGCAACAAGAUGAGGGUGGCGUUUCAGAAAAGCCAAUGCCCACUGAAUGUCUCCGAUCAUUCUUAGAGUUGUUUAUGUCCUCACUGCCAUCUUGCUAUGCCAACCACAUGGCUAGACCACUAGAGAAGAAUUUCCCAGAACUACAUAAUUAUCUCCAUGACAGACAGGAAGCCAGGGACUUCCAUUCCAUACAUCUGCUUUGGUGGCCAGAUGUCCUGGAUGUGCCAGAGCAGCAGUGUGAAAGAGUUGUUUCUUUCAUGGAGACAAAAGGAUUCAUCCCACGGACUGCUUAUGAGUACAAUGAGGUGCCCUGCACAUUCUUGCACACUUACAUUGGUCUCAUCUUAACUGACUUUCAAAGAACCCCUCAUAUCUUAGGACUUUAAUGCUGGAAGGAACAGAGAUUCUGAGACAGAAUCCCAACAGAAGUUAAAAGGUUUGCCCAAGUUUACACGGUUCCUCAAUGACAGACAAAAUAGAGCAAAUUUCUGUGAUACGAACUUUGAUUGGGAGAAUUAAGGGAACUCAUCAUUAUUUUGAUUACUAAUAUUUAUUAACCACUUGCUAUAAUAUUUCAUGAAAUCUAAGACCCAUCAAUCAUAAAGUUCACCAUUAUUUUGUGAAUUUCCCAGAGAGAAAGAAAAUGCUAGCGACUAAAUCAUGACAUUAGUGAUUGUUAGACAUAUUUCAGAGACGUUAAAGUGUGAAUCUCAAAAUCAAUGAAAAAUGGGCUAUACCAAGUUCUCUAUGUACCUAACAGUGUCUAAUUAUCGGAACAAACUUCUGAGACAGGCAUUAUUAUUUGACCCAUUUUUUAUUUUCAGAUGAGGAAAUAAAGGCUUAAAUUUUUCCUAAGUAACAAAGCUGAAUCCAAUCCAUGCCUGUCCAUCUCCAGGGUCCAAACCUGUAACCACCAUGUCUCUUUGAGGCUUAUAAGUAUUUUGGAACAGAAGGGACUGUGGGACAGGACCCAAGUGGGUCUCAAAUGUAUCAGCUCUUAUCUCUCCUACCUGUAGUUUUUCAUCAUAAUAAGUACAAUGAACUUUUUUCCCCACCAAAUAUUAUAGGCAAGGAUACACUUCCCUUUGCUUGUGCCCCAUAUCUGCUAGCAGUUUCCAGAGUACAGAACUCGAUUCAAAAUUGACCCACUGCCUUCCUCUUAUAAUGAGCAUAAUAUUCUGAAAAGCAGUCAAAUUUUCUGGGACUUAGAGGCUCAUUAUUCUAUUCUCUAAACUUUUUUGUAUCUAAAAUUUUUAUGUUUUUUUUUUUUUUUUUUUUAAAGAUCAGUUACAAGCAAGGCACAGUGGUGUGUACCUGGCAGUCCCAGCUACCUGGGAUGCUAGAGUGGAAGGAUUGCUUGAGUCCAGGAGUUGGAGUCCAGCCCAGGCAACAUAGUGAGAUCCUGUUUCUAGUAAUAAUAAUAAAGCCAGGUGCAGUAGUUCACACCUGUAAUCUCAGCACUGUAGCAGGCAAAGGUGGGAAGAUAGCUUGAGCCCAUGAGUUCGAGACCAGCCCUGACAACACGGUGAGACCCUGUCUCCAUAAAAACUAAAAAAAUUAACCAGGCAUGCUGGUGUAUGCCUGUAGUCCUAGCUCCUCCGAAGGCUGAGGUAGGAAGAUCACUCGAGACUAGUAGGUCAAGGCUGCAAUGAGCCGUGGUUGUGUCACUGCACUCUAGCUUGGGUGAUAGAGCAAAACUCUGUUUCAAAAAAAAAAUCAGUUACAAUUUUAUAUGGUAAUAGUCAGCAUUUAUUAAAUCUUUGUUAUUUACCAAAGCACUAAUCAUGCUGAAGGUCAUAUACCUAAAAAAUGGCUCAGUCCUAAAAUACGUCCACAAGAUGCUGUGCACAUACAGUGACAAGGUAGCUUACUCUUUCUUAGGCUUUAUAGAAGAAAAGCUUGGAUGAAAGUCUCAAGGGAAAAAAAGUGGUUCAACGUCAGGAAGACAUGAGAAUGAAAACUGCACAUACAAAAAGACAAAAAGGAGGUCUUUAGGAAAAGACUUUCAAAAACCGCAAUUGUCAAUUUCUAAGCAAUAUUUCACCCAUGUUCUGCUCAUCAUGGAAGACCAGUGUUUCUCUGAGUACACCACCUUCUUUUUUUUUUUUUUGAGAUGGAGUCUCACUCUGUUUCCCAGGCUGGAGUGCAAUGGCAUAAUCUUAGCUCACUGCAACCUCUGCCUCCUGGGGUUCAAGUGAUUCUCCUGCCUCAAUCUCCCCAGUAGCUGGAACUACAGGUGCGUGACACCACACCUGGCUAAUUUUUUGUUUUUUUAGUAGAUGUUCACCAUGUUACCGUGUUGGCCUGGAUGGUCUUGAUCUCCUGACCUCGUAAUCCACCCGUCUCAGCCUUCCAAAGUGCUGGGAUUACAGGUGUGAGCCAACAUUUUUUUUAAAUAAUAAUUUCAACUUGUAUUUUAGAUUCGGGGGGUACAUGCGCAGGUUUGUUACCUGGGUAUAUUGCAUGAUGCUGAGGUUUGAGGUGUGAAUGAUCCCAUCACGAAGGUAGUGAGCAUAGUAUCCCAGAGGUAGUUUUUCAGUCCUUGUCCCCCUUCCUCUCUCUUUAAUAGUCCCCAGUGUCUAUCAUUCCCAUCUUA